rnacentral:rRNA from 1 species
UGGGGAAUAUUGGACAAUGGGCGAAAGCCUGAUCCAGCCAUGCCGCGUGUGUGAAGAAGGUCUUCGGAUUGUAAAGCACUUUAAGUUGGGAGGAAGGGCAGUAAGCGAAUACCUUGCUGUUUUGACGUUACCGACAGAAUAAGCACCGGCUAACUCUGUGCCAGCAGCCGCGGUAAUACAGAGGGUGCAAGCGUUAAUCGGAAUUACUGGGCGUAAAGCGCGCGUAGGUGGUUCGUUAAGUUGAAUGUGAAAGCCCCGGGCUCAACCUGGGAACUGCAUCCAAAACUGGCGAGCUAGAGUAGGGCAGAUGGUGGUGGAAUUUCCUGUGUAGCGGUGAAAUGCGUAGAUAUAGGGAGGAACACCAGUGGCGAAGGCGACCACCUGAGCUCAUACUGACACUGAGGUGCGAAAGCGUGGGGAGCAAACAGG